UGGGGAAUUUUGGACAAUGGGCGAAAGCCUGAUCCAGCCAUGCCGCGUGAGUGAAGAAGGCCUUCGGGUUGUAAAGCUCUUUUAGUCGGAAAGAAAGAGUUGCAAUGAAUAAUUGUGAUUUAUGACGGUACCGACAGAAAAAGCACCGGCUAACUACGUGCCAGCAGCCGCGGUAAUACGUAGGGUGCGAGCGUUAAUCGGAAUUACUGGGCGUAAAGGGUGCGCAGGCGGUCUUGCAAGUCAGAUGUGAAAGCCCCGGGCUUAACCUGGGAAUUGCGUUUGAAACUACAAGGCUAGAGUGCAGCAGAGGGGAGUGGAAUUCCAUGUGUAGCAGUGAAAUGCGUAGAGAUGUGGAAGAACACCGAUGGCGAAGGCAGCUCCCUGGGUUGACACUGACGCUCAUGUACGAAAGCGUGGGGAGCAAACA
rnacentral:rRNA from 1 species